rnacentral:rRNA from 1 species
UACGUAGGUGGCAAGCGUUGUCCGGAUUUAUUGGGUUUAAAGGGUGCGUAGGCGGUCUAUUAAGUCAGUGGUGAAAUACUCCAGCUCAACUGGAGGGGUGCCAUUGAUACUGAUGGACUUGAGUGAAGUCGAGGUAGGCGGAAUUGACGGUGUAGCGGUGAAAUGCUUAGAUAUCGUCAAGAACACCAAUAGUGAAGACAGCUUACUAGGCUUAUACUGACGCUGAGGCACGAAAGUGUGGGGAUCAAACAGG